AGCAGCCGCGGUAAUUCCAGCUCCAAUAGCGUAUAUUAAAGUUGUUGCAGUUAAAAAGCUCGUAGUUGAACUUCGGGGUCUACCCAUUGGUCAGGCUUAAUUGUCUGCACUGGUGAGAUGGAUCUCUACCUUCUGAGGAACUUUCAUGCCAUUUAUUUGGUGUGAUGGGAAAUCAGGACUGUUACUUUGAAAAAAUUAGAGUGUUUAAAGCAGACUAUCGUCUGAAUACAUUAGCAUGGAAUAAUGAAAUAGGACGGACUGAUUCUAUUUCGUUGGUUUCUAGGAUCACCGUAAUGAUUAAUAGGGAUAGUUGGGGGCAGUUAGUAUUCAAUUGUCAGAGGUGAAAUUCUUGGAUUUAUGAAGACUAACGUACUGCGAAAGCAUUUGCCAAGGAUGUUUUCAUUAAUCAAGAACGAAAGUUAGGGGAUCGAAGACGAUCAGAUACCGUCGUAGUCUUAACCNUAAACUAUGCCGACUAGGGAUCGGACGAAGUUAAUUUUAUAAAUGAACGCG
rnacentral:rRNA from 1 species